GGGCUUUAUAGUUGGCGAUCCACCAGCAUCCCUACCCGGAACUCUUGUGUACCACUCUGCGAUAUUGGCAGCUAUGGUCCUCGAGGUUUCACAAAUAGUGUAUGGGUAUCCAGUGUGGAGUGUGUAGCUUUUCAUAAACGUCGACGGACAGUUGUCCUGGUGUUAGUAGGCAAAGUGUCGUUUGUUUGGAAAAUUAUUUUAUUUGUGCAAUUGGAUUUUUUCCAUUGAG